CAAUAGCGUAUAUUAAAGUUGUUGCAGUUAAAAAGCUCGUAGUCGGAUUUUGGCAUCAUGCCGAACUGUCGGCCGAUUGGUUUGUACGGUUUGGCGGGUGCUCUCCUUCCGGAGGCUCGUUUCCUCUUUCAUUAGAGGGUUCGAUGGUUCCGGGUCUUUUACUUUGAAAAAAUUAGAGUGUUCAAAGCAGGCCUAUGCUCUGAAUAGGUUAGCAUGGAAUAAUAAAAUAGGACUUUGGUUCUAUUUUGUUGGUUUCUAGGACCGAAGUAAUGAUUAAUAGGGACAGUUGGGGGGCAUUUCUACUAUUUCCAAUGUCGAGAAGGUUGUAAAGUUCUUUAGGAUUAAAUCGGAAGAUAGAACUUCUGCGAAACGCAUCUUGCCUAAGGAUGUUUUCAUUAGAGUCAAGAACGAAAGUUAGGGGAUCGAAGACGA
rnacentral:rRNA from 1 species